GAUGAACGCUGGCGGCGUGCCUAAUACAUGCAAGUCGAGCGAACGGACGAGAAGCUUGCUUCUCUGAUGUUAGCGGCGGACGGGUGAGUAACACGUGGAUAACCUACCUAUAAGACUGGGAUAACUUCGGGAAACCGGAGCUAAUACCGGAUAAUAUUUUGAACCGCAUGGUUCAAAAGUGAAAGACGGUCUUGCUGUCACUUAUAGAUGGAUCCGCGCUGCAUUAGCUAGUUGGUAAGGUAACGGCUUACCAAGGCAACGAUGCAUAGCCGACCUGAGAGGGUGAUCGGCCACACUGGAACUGAGACACGGUCCAGACUCCUACGGGAGGCAGCAGUAGGGAAUCUUCCGCAAUGGGCGAAAGCCUGACGGAGCAACGCCGCGUGAGUGAUGAAGGUCUUCGGAUCGUAAAACUCUGUUAUUAGGGAAGAACAUAUGUGUAAGUAACUGUGCACAUCUUGACGGUACCUAAUCAGAAAGCCACGGCUAACUACGUGCCAGCAGCCGCGGUAAUACGUAGGUGGCAAGCGUUAUCCGGAAUUAUUGGGCGUAAAGCGCGCGUAGGCGGUUUUUUAAGUCUGAUGUGAAAGCCCACGGCUCAACCGUGGAGGGUCAUUGGAAACUGGAAAACUUGAGUGCAGAAGAGGAAGGUGGAAUUCCAUGUGUAGCGGUGGAAUGCGCAGAGAUAUGGAGGAACACCAGUGGCGAAGGCGACUUUCUGGUCUGUAACUGACGCUGAUGUGCGAAAGCGUGGGGAUCAAACAGGAUUAGAUACCCUGGUAGUCCACGCCGUAAACGAUGAGUGCUAAGUGUUAGGGGGUUUCCGCCCCUUAGUGCUGCAGCUAACGCAUUAAGCACUCCGCCUGGGGAGUACGACCGCAAGGUUGAAACUCAAAGGAAUUGACGGGGACCCGCACAAGCGGUGGAGCAUGUGGUUUGAUUCGAAGCAACGCGAAGAACCUUACCAAAUCUUGACAUCCUUUGACAACUCUAGAGAUAGAGCCUUCCCCUUCGGGGGACAAAGUGACAGGUGGUGCAUGGUUGUCGUCAGCUCGUGUCGUGAGAUGUUGGGUUAAGUCCCGCAACGAGCGCAACCCUUAAGCUUAGUUGCCAUCAUUAAGUUGGGCACUCUAAGUUGACUGCCGGUGACAAACCGGAGGAAGGUGGGGAUGACGUCAAAUCAUCAUGCCCCUUAUGAUUUGGGCUACACACGUGCUACAAUGGACAAUACAAAGGGCAGCGAAACCGCGAGGUCAAGCAAAUCCCAUAAAGUUGUUCUCAGUUCGGAUUGUAGUCUGCAACUCGACUACAUGAAGCUGGAAUCGCUAGUAAUCGUAGAUCAGCAUGCUACGGUGAAUACGUUCCCGGGUCU
rnacentral:rRNA from 1 species